GCCUCCAUAGAACAAAUUUAAAACACAACUGGCAUGGUAAUGUACGGAGAGCUUCAGUGGCACCUUACCACCCACCCUCCGAGACCUGUCCUAAGAUUUAAGACAGUCUCAGAAAGCUGCACUGCCCCCAGCACAGCUUUCAUUCAAAUCAGCUUUUCCAAGGCCACUUUCGUCCUGAAGUCAAUGCAUGUAUUUACUGUUUGACAGUAAACCCGCUCUGCCUUCUCCACGUCCAAGGCUGUGCAUUCGUCUAAUUAGUGUCGUGUAUGUUUUCCUUUUAUUUUUUCCAAUAAAAAAGCAGUGGGAUGAAAAUUGCUUUGAUAUAUAGCAGGUAACAUUGAAGCUAUUCCAUAGCACUUAACUGUAGUGAAUACUGUGUCACCAAUCCUGAAAUCAAUUUAAUGUUUAAUGCAAAUCCAUUACAUGGUGCUAUUACAGGCUGACAAAAUGAUUUACACAAAUGUGACAACUUGGGCUCAAUUCACUCUGCUUUCCAACAGUGUAAAUGCAUAGCAGUGUUUAUCUGCAUGAGAACUAUGCACUAACCUAUCUGAAGAAAAAAACUAUAUCAACUUUGGUAUCUACUUUCCGUUUACUUCAAUCCUUGCCUUUUUGGUCAUUGUUAUAAUGCCAGCUUUAGGACAGAAAGAAUUAUAAGAAAACCAGCAUAAUACCUGAUAUAUUAAAAUGUAGUGCCUGUGAAAUCUGUAUUAUAUUGCUCUUCUGAAGUAAGAUUUUUCUACACCGGUAGCCUUCGCUGUCUGUCAGUCAGGACCUUCUGGUAUAGGUGAUGUAAAAUAACCGUACAAUAUUAAUGCAUGCUAUUCCAUAAUGCUUAGUGAACUGUAUGAAUAUUACUCAAGAUUAUGUUAGUCUUUUUUUCUGACUUGGUUCUUGUCAGCUAGGUUUAAAGGUAUUUCACUGAGAACGCAAAUUCUGUCUUUUCUUGAUUUCGGCAGUUUUCAGUAUUUUGGAGGUAUACAUUUACUUAAAUUCAGUAUUACUUGUGUUUUUGUUUUCGUUUUUGUUUUUUGUUUUCUUUUUCCUAGGGGACAAGCAUGGGUGUUUGAUUUCAGAAAUCAGUCCCUGGCAAGACUUUUGUCUCAAAACAACCAUUUGAAUUUCAAGAACUCUGCUCUGAAGACACUGAGGAUAUUUCAAAAUGAGGGACAUUUCCCUUCACCCUCGACUGAAGCUUUGCCGAUACUGAAGCAUUUUCUUAAUGGACAAUGUUCAGCCAGGUACCCAUGCUUGAUCCGUCUUCACACCAGACUUCCUCGUAUUAAGAGAAAAAAAAAAGAAAAAAAAAAUCUUUACAGAAUCACAUGGCUAUUUAGUUUCAUGCACAGUUGCAAUAUUUUCUUCAAAAAUAAAACGCUGUACAAACUUUGGGCCCGAUUCAUAAGAAAAAGAAAUUGGCUAUUAACACGGGAUUUUUUUUAAUAUAACUUUUUUCUUUUUCGGUCUAAAUUUGAAAUGACUUGCUUCCCAAAUGAAAUCUUUUAUCUCAUUUUUUUUUCCCCUAAGCCAGCACUGAUCUGCCUUUGAUUUUUUAUUCCCCUUUUAUAAUCAGUUAGGGUGAUGGGGAAACGGAGAGCAGAUUUCAGCAAUGCUCAGAAAGAUAAGAGGGGACCACCUGCCCUUGAGCAUGGUAACAAGGGAGACAGCAGAAUGUAGGGGCAGGACUUUGCCUGAGUGCCAGACAUCAUGAGUUUCCACAGGAGCAUCACAUUUCCUGAUGCUAUUCAAUUCAAAAAACACAAUUUCCAAAGUGUGUCUGGACCACGAGAGUGUAUGGUGCAAGUGCCUCUGCGAAUCCAGCCCUACCACCGGCACAGUGGAGAACGCCCCCCAGGGUGUUCCACGUGAACUUGUGUCUCUCCGUGGCGGUUUCUGGGACAAAUGGUGUCCGGUGAAUGGGGCUAUUUUUCCUGCUGUUUUUAUGCUCAGCUUCUCAAAAUGACAGAAGAUUUUUCCCUUUUUGAUUCUAUUUGUGUUAUUUUUAUUUUUCAAUUUUUUUAAAAAAUAAUAGUCUAUAAUUUAGCACUGUUUUUUUUUUUUUUCAAACAUCUCAGCCGAAGGUCACAAAGGCCACUGGCUACGUUGGGAUGGAGGCCUAAAGAUUUCUCCCUAGUCUCCGACUGCCUUUCUGCACUGUGAAGGCAGUUGGUAGCAUCACUGCUGAGGUACUGGCUUGACCUAGAGCUGGAGGUUUAUCAGAUUCUAGGAGGUCCUCAAGGUAGACUUUCAAAGGCAAAUACACGACCCCCCUCCCCUGCAGCCCUGACCUCUUACCAGAACAAAGUUCACUGAGGGCUUGUCCCACCACCCUUGGAAAUCUGUCUGCUCAAGAUACCUCCGUUUUUGUUUUCUGGGUUUUUUUUUUUGUUUGUUUGUUUUUUUCAUUUCAAAUUGUGGGAGAAGGGGAUUAAACACUUCCAAUGAUAAGAGAUCUGUUGUGAAACUGAACACCCCCCGUGUUAAUCAGUUAGUUUGACAUUUGUUUUUUAUGAGCCGGGCCCCCUGUGCCUCUAGUAUACUUGUAUUGACCCUCAUAGUUACCCUUUUAGUUUGACUGUGUUCUGUGAAAAUUUGUAAUUGGUUGAGAAUCACUGUGGGCGUCCAUUCUUAUUCAACUAAAUCUCCACAGGUUUUUUGAGCUGGUGUGGAUUAGUUUAACUCUUGUAUUCAACCAUUAGUGCUACCACCGUCUCACAUUACAAUACAAUUACUGGAAGCAAGUACUGCAUUUCCUAUGCAACAAAAAAGGAAAAUAAAAAAUUGCUAAUGCUAUGGAAGCUGCGUCAUCAUUUGCUUUAAAUCGCACCUGGAAGGUGACGUUUGAGUGAUAGUUAUGGGUGUUAUGGGUGUUUCCCCU
ensembl:lncRNA